UACGUAGGGGGCGAGCGUUGUCCGGAAUCAUUGGGCGUAAAGAGCUCGUAGGCGGUUCAGUAAGUCAGGUGUGAAAGCUCCGAGCUCAACUCGGAGAGGCCACCUGAUACUGCUGUGACUAGAAUCCAGUAGGGGAGUGCGGAACUCCUGGUGUAGCGGUGAAAUGCGCAGAUAUCAGGAGGAACACCGGUGGCGAAGGCGGCUUUCUGGGCCUUACCUGACGCUGAGGAGCGAAAGCUGGGGGAGCAAACAGG
rnacentral:rRNA from 1 species